rnacentral:rRNA from 1 species
AGGACGAACGCUGGCGGCGUGCUUAACACAUGCAAGUCGAACGGUAAGGCCCCUUCGGGGGUACACGAGUGGCGAACGGGUGAGUAACACGUGGGUAAUCUGCCCUGCACUUCGGGAUAAGCCUGGGAAACUGGGUCUAAUACCGGAUAUGAACUCCUGCCGCAGUGGGUGGGGGUUGGUAAAGUUUUUCGGUGCAGGAUGAGCCCGGCGGCCUAUCAGUCUUUGGUUGGUGGGGUAAUCGGCCUACCGAGGCGAACGGACGGGUACGCCGGCCUGAGGAGGGUGAGCCGGACACGACGUAGG